rnacentral:tRNA from 1 species
GCCUACUUAGCGCAGUCGGUAGAGCUAUCGGCUGUUAACCGAUCGGUCGUGGGUUCGAGUCCCUCAGUAGGCGCCA